GAGAAGUGUGCUCGAAAUGCGGCCAAUAGAAACUACUUGAAAACAAAUCACACUAUUGGCACCUGCUCAUUCAUUAACAUUAUUCACAAGAAGAAUGAAAUGGAAGCAAAAGUUCACUCAGACAGCGCGAAUUGCACUAAAGAAGAGGCAUUCACGAAAGUGCUCAGGGUUUCACGCACGGGGCAUGUUCGAGGGAUGGGGUUAGGUGCCGUACCUACCCAGACAAAAUCUUCUUGAGCAACAUCCUCAAGUCAAAUUGACGUUCACAAGGAAUGCAAGAAGCAUCGGGAAGAGCUUGAGACAUCUUAUCAGUCCCUGUGUGAAAAGAUGGCCGCAUCCCAGGAAAGGAUGCGGGAAGAGGUUCGAGCAGAGAUGCGUACAGAGAUGCGUGCAGAGGUGAAGGCAGAGAUGCAGAAACUGCUAUCACAAUUUCACGGGCAUGGAGAGAGAUCUAUCAUAGGUUAAUCAAGCCAAGGCAGUAAGGAGUGAUUGAUGCUCUGUAAUAGUUUUUCUUAGAAACUACUAUCAUUAUUGUU